UUUUGAAUUUAUGUCUGAUUUUGUGAACAAGUAAUUUUUAAGUUAUGUAUAACUUGGGGGUAUUCAAGACAAAUCAGACUACUAAAAGGGGUACAGUAGUCUGGAAAGGUGAGAGCCACUGGUGUAGACAAGAUCUUAGAAGACAAACCUAGGCCUUGAUCCUGCAAAUACUUCGGCAUGUGUUUAAGCACGAGUAGUUCCAAUGUAAUCAUUGAGACUACCCCCAUGCUUAAGAUAAGCACAUGCCCAAGUGUUUGUAGGAUCAGAGCCUUAGAAAGCAAUUUUAUGACAGUCCGAUACAUAAUGGUGAAGAACUUCCCUCUACAAUCCAACAUUGUGCUCUGAUUCCCAUGAAUUGUAACACCUAGUUGGAAUGGAAGUAAUACUGAUGAGGCUCACUGAAGUGUGUUUUGAGGAGGGAUUUGAAAGAGGAGAAGGUAUUACUAUAAAAAGUCACUCCAUCUCUGCCAGACUGGCCCCUCCACCUGGUUAUUUUGUUUGUAUUUUUCAGUGUAUAAUAAGUUGCGUCUUCCUCAAUAUACGGAACAUUGCACAUAAACAGCAUACAUUAAUACAUCUCUCACAUUUAAAUUGUCACAGUUUUUGAGAAUUCUGUUUAGGCAAAGGAAGUAACUGUUUUAAUCAAAAUGUUACGAAACUAACCUGUCGUGACUCUUGUCCGUCUUGUUUGUUUCCUGUGGUUUCUGAGUAUUCAUUGCAUAUCCUGCCCAAGAAGUUUUGUGUCACACGCUGCUGGUCCAGUGUCUCUUAGUGGUGAGAUGUGGGGCAGGUCUGCCUGAGGGAUUUUAUGUAUGCAGUGUUGUAGCCCUGUCGGUCCCAGGAUAUUAGAGAGACAAGAAGGAAGGAGAAGUUGCGUCCAUUCUCAUAGAGGGCCAGAGAACAUACUGUGCUAGCUUUGAUUAUAAGACUUGAUUGUCUCCUCUGCAUGUCUAGGGAUCAUAACUGUUAAAGAAGGGAAGGAUGGCGUUAUGGUUAAAGUACCAGAGUGGGAUUCAGGAGACCCGCAUUUAAUUCUUGGCUCUGUCACAGACUUCUUGUAUGACACGGGCAACUCUCCUAGGUCCCAGUUCUACAAAUACUUACACCUGUGCUUAAGGCCUUGUCUACACUGCAACGUUUUGUCACCAAAAGGCAGGAGAGGAGACCCCUGUCUUUGCGGUUUCAAUUCAGUCAGAAGAGAGAAAUGUUCUAAAGUUCCCAACAAAUGCUGGCAUUCGGCUACUACUGGAAUUUAAAGAAAGCACUGGAGCUCUGCCCU